GGGGGUGUAGCUCAGUGAUAGAGCGCUCGCUUCGUAUGUGAGAUGUCCCGGGUUCAAAUCCCGGCACCCCCA